rnacentral:lncRNA from 1 species
AAACACACAACCAUUUGCACCUGCAAACUUCCUCAGAGCAAACGGCAACGGGGAAGUGACUAACAUUGCGGUAUAUGUUUGGAGAUUCCAAUAAUCUGUCUGUCACCUCCCAGUACAGUAGAGUCAUGGGAUAGGGUGGGUUAUUAUAUAACAAUAGUCAGAACCAAGAACAUUUUUAGGGCUGGGAACCUCCUCUAACUGAUACUACAAAACGGUAUUACUCAAGUGGACGAGCAGCAUCUGUGGCUCUACAUCACCCGCAGGAACUAUCCACCAACCUGAGACUAGAAGAGGUCUGUGUAUCCGAAACAGACGGAAUUCCAUACAUCUGGACAGAGACAGAUUGACAGAAGUGGACACUGUAUAAACCCUGAGUAAUCUGCUAACAGGCUGAUCGGUCAACAUGUGGGACAUGCUGGGCUAUAAAACUGGACAGAAAGUGAUCUUCAGACACCUGACAGCAUCAGCAGAUAAACAUUUCAGAAGAAUCCUUCGAUUUACUUGCAAAUGCGAACGUGAGUGUAAACUCCGGGGUCAUUUCUGCGCGGCACUGUUCAAAUUCCUCUUCAAGGCGGCUGCUACAGGGUUACUCUGGGUUGCCUCUGUUCUCAUCAAUGGGUUCUGGUACACGUGCUGCCUAAAUUACAGCUCUAGAGCACUUGCCUGCAAGAAAAGCAGUGAGCUCAAUUUGACAGAAAAAGCAACCAUAGCUAACCUAAAAAAUGAUUCAGAGGUAUAUGGCUUGCUGGUGGUGCUCGGUAUUGUAGGGCUGUUGACCCUGUCUGUAUUGCCUUGGAAUGAGUUCUGCUGUAGAAAGUCUUCUCACAGGACUCAGUUUGAGAAGAAUGUUUUGGAACAGGCAGAGAUUCAUAUGGAAGAUAAACUAGAGAGAAUAGCUAAGGCGUAUGUGGUUCAAGGCGCAAUAAGUGAUCUAGAGACAAUUUCUGAAGUAACAUAUGAAGAUGUGACGAAACAAAUUGUGGUGGUCAAUAUUAAAAAAGAUUGGGACAAAAUAUCAGACUUCUCUUUGCAUCUGAUCAACUCUUUAUCUGAUGAAAGUACUGGGGAAACAACAAGUGAAGUCUUGACUAUCAACUAAUAACAUUGGUCAAUCAAGAACUUUGAGCCUCUGGGACUCUCUGGGCAUCUCAAAUUAAACAGAACAUUUACACCUAGUAAACAGUAGAUACAGUAUUUAUACACCUCUUUAGUCCCUAUGGAGAAUGAUGCUGCAUAUCGGUAGCCUAUACAUGUCCUGUAACCUAGAAUGCAUUGACCUAACAUAUGUGUAUUUUGAUUGUCUUUAGAUUUUCUUUUUCGGUUUGUGUUUAAAGGGGGCUUUAUCAUGUUAACUUUAUAUGCAGACUCUGAUAUUUUGUCAUUUUACCAUUUAUUUAUUUUACAUGGAAUGGUAACAUUUGUCAUUGAAAUGUUGUUGUGAUGCAAUGUACAGAUGAUAUAGUGUCUUUAUAGAUAGUGUGCUGUAUGAAAGCCUUUAUGUAAAUAUUCAAAUUAAGUCUUAACAUUGUAUAAUAAAAAAAGGACAAAUAAAACAGAAUAUGUAGAUAAUGUGCUGAAAUAUACUGUAUAUACAUUUUCAAAUUAAAAUUGUGUAUUUGAACAAGUAAAUCUUAUUUUAAAAUAAAAAAAUGAAGAUUUUU